GAUGAACGCUGGCGGCGUGCCUAAUACAUGCAAGUCGAGCGAACAGAUGAGGAGCUUGCUCCUCUGACGUUAGCGGCGGACGGGUGAGUAACACGUGGAUAACCUACCUAUAAGACUGGGAUAACUUCGGGAAACCGGAGCUAAUACCGGAUAAUAUAUUGAACCGCAUGGUUCAAUAGUGAAAGACGGUUUUGCUGUCACUUAUAGAUGGAUCCGCGCCGCAUUAGCUAGUUGGUAAGGUAACGGCUUACCAAGGCAACGAUGCGUAGCCGACCUGAGAGGGUGAUCGGCCACACUGGAACUGAGACACGGUCCAGACUCCUACGGGAGGCAGCAGUAGGGAAUCUUCCGCAAUGGGCGAAAGCUUGACGGAGCAACGCCGCGUGAGUGAUGAAGGUCUUCGGAUCGUAAAACUCUGUUAUUAGGGAAGAACAAAUGUGUAAGUAACUAUGCACGCCUUGACGGUACCUAAUCAGAAAGCCACGGCUAACUACGUG
rnacentral:rRNA from 1 species